rnacentral:rRNA from 1 species
AUUGAACGCUGGCGGCAGGCCUAACACAUGCAAGUCGAACGAGUGGCGGACGGGUGAGUAAUGUCUGGGAAACUGCCUGAUGGAGGGGGAUAACUUCUGGAAACGGUAGCUAAUACCGCAUACCAUCAUAUGCUCCCAGAUGGGAUUAGCUAGUAGGUGGGGUAACGGCUCACCUAGGCGACGAUCCCUAGCUGGUCUGAGAGGAUGACCGGCCACACUGGAACUGAGACACGGCCCAGACUCCUACGGGAGGCAGCAGUGGGGAAUAUUGUACAAUGGGAGCAAGCCUGAUGCAGCCAUGCCGCGUGUGUGAAGAAGGCCUUCGGGUUGUAAAGCACUUUCAGCGGGGAGGCGUUACCCGAAGAAGAAGCACCGGCUAACUCCGUGCCAGCAGCCGCGGUAAUUG